UACGUAGGAGACGAGCGUUGUCCGGAGUUACUGGGCGUAAAGGGUGCGUAGGCGGCGCGGAAAGUUGGGUGUGAAAUCCCUCGGCUCAACCGAGGAACUGCGCCCAAAACUACCGUGCUCGAGGGAGAUAGAGGUGAGCGGAACUUAGGGUGGAGCGGUGAAAUGCGUUGAUAUCCUAAGGAACACCCGUGGCGAAAGCGGCUCACUGGGUCUCUUCUGACGCUGAGGCACGAAAGCUAGGGUAGCGAACGGG
rnacentral:rRNA from 1 species